CAAAGAAGGCGGGGGUGGGGGUAGCAGCAGAAGGAGCUACUCCCCGGCCGCUGCACAGUGACCAGAGCAGCCCGCGAUCAGAGCUCUGAACCCGACUAGUUCCUGGCUUCCUCUUCGGUUCCCUCCUCCUUCUGCAGCGACAACCCCCAGGGUCUCUCCGUAGAGCCUUCGAGAGCCCACGGUGGCCCGGGGCGCCGCGCCCUGACCCGCGCUCUAGGGUCGUGGAGGACUGCGCCCCAUCUGGGAAGACUGCGGCGCUAAGCCUCAAGUACCCCAGGGACACUGAGAAAUCGAAAAACGCGAGUCAGAGCAACUCCCGCCCCCCAGGAGCUGGGAACAAAGACCCCUUUGUUCCAGCUCUGUCCCUCUCCCGAGAGACCAGAGUCCCGUGGGUGUGGUGUCGUGGAGGGGAGGAGACAGGUCACUGCAGGUAACCCGCCUCCGCCUAGAACUUGGGAGGGGGAGGCACCCCACCGUGGUGUCCUAGGUAGCAAAGGCAGCCUGGGGCUCUGGAGGGAGGUGUCCCCCUUCAGGUGCACCUGCCAGCCCCAGCUCCAAGUCAGCUGAGUGCCUGCUACUCGGAUGAUGGGGUCUCUCCAGGUGUGAGGUUUGUGAACUCUCCUCGGCUCCGAAAGGAAUUUCAGCUAUAAACAAUGAUGGACUUGCACAAAGAUCACAGUAGGAAACCUGACUUUGAUCACCGGGCAGCCAGUUUUUAAAAGGCACAUUUGUACUCAUCUGAGUGUUUCAAAGGAAAGCGAGGAGGCACUUACAGCCCUGUGAUCCACUGUCAUGGACUUCCUCCUUCGUCAAGGGUAAGGGAAAGUCACUGCCUUAAACAGAGGCUUCCAUGGCCAUCCUUGAACAGAAAAACCAUCUGGAAGGGUCCACCCAUGGAUCUGCUGUCACUCUAUCUCUUCUGUCUGCCACCUUUGCUACAUCCCAAGAAGACUUUCUGCAUCUUAAUUCUGAAUAUGAAAUGAAUAGGCUUUGUGUUUGUUUUCUCGUCGUUGUCUUUUGAGACUAGGUCACAUGCAACUUAAACUAGCCUUGAACUUCUAAUGUAGCCAAGGAAGAACUUGAACUUCUGAUUCCUGCUUCUACCUUCAAUGCUGGGACUGCAAGUCUAUGCGACUCCAUCUAGCUGCACUGGGUCAUUGGACUCCUGUUUAUCUAGUGAGUGUACCAGUAUCCCCUAAUUUCUCCAUCCAUGAACAACACUUGUUUAAGAUUCUUUACCACAUCUGGAGACAAGCCAUGGAACGCUUUACAAAUGAUUUGAUGGCUUAGUUUUGGCUCCCUCAGAGCCAUGCCCCACAUGGAUGGUGCAGCUUCUCAUGGAAUCAUCUAUCGCUCACACUUCAUUUCUCACCAUCCUCAAAUUUUAGGCUCAGGGAAAAUAAUUUUUUUAGAAAGAUCCCAGUUUACAGUAUUCUUCCAUGGCUCUGUGCUUGAUCACACUGACCUUACCUCCUAACACUUACUUUGCCCACCAGCCACCCCUCGGUUGUAGAGCAUCAAAGCCGUGCUCGCACCUUUAAGCGACUUGUUUUUGCUGAGUUACACAGAUAUGCUGUGAACACCCAUUCACAAAGCAGAUGUUGGGUGAUGAACAAGGCAACACAAAUAAAGUAAUUAUCUCAAUUUCUACUGUCUGUUCCCCGGUGUAUUCCCAGCAGCUUACAGAGUCCUUAGUGCAUUGUGGGAACAAAAUUGUAUGGGGGAGAAGUAAGUAUUAGUUAUCAUAAUUAUUAUCUCAACUACACCAAUAGUUGUUAGUUUAUCUGGUUUUUGUUUUCUGUUUUGUAUCAACCCCUGAGGUUGUAAGUCUGUCUAUCACAUAGGCUGUACUAGGCAAUGUUUGAUAAGUGAGCAAUGAGUGAACGAAUGGAUAGGAUUCACCUAGGGCAGAUCUUUCUGUUCAACAAGUGUGAGCACUAAAGUCGUCAUGCAUUUAUUGUUCACUUAGCUCUCCAGUCUCAUGAUUUCCUCACUGA
ensembl:lncRNA